rnacentral:rRNA from 1 species
UACGAAGGGGGCUAGCGUUGUUCGGAUUUACUGGGCGUAAAGCGCACGUAGGCGGAUUGUUAAGUCGGGGGUGAAAUCCUGGAGCUCAACUUCAGAAUUGCCUUCGAUACUGGCUUUCUAGAGGCUGGAAGAGGUUAGUGGAAUUCCCAGUGUAGAGGUGAAAUUCGUAGAUAUUGGGAAGAACACCAGUGGCGAAGGCGGCUAACUGGUCCAGAUCUGACGCUGAGGUGCGAAAGCCAGGGGAGCAAACGGG